GAUGAACGCUGGCGGCGUGCCUAAUACAUGCAAGUCGAGCGAACAGACGAGGAGCUUGCUCCUCUGACGUUAGCGGCGGACGGGUGAGUAACACGUGGAUAACCUACCUAUAAAACUGGGAUAACUUCGGGAAACCGGAGCUAAUACCGGAUAAUAUAUUGAACCGCAUGGUUCAAUAGUGAAAGACGGUUUUGCUGUCACUUAUAGAUGGAUCCGCGCCGCAUUAGCUAGUUGGUAAGGUAACGGCUUACCAAGGCAACGAUGCGUAGCCGACCUGAGAGGGUGAUCGGCCACACUGGAACUGAGACACGGUCCAGACUCCUACGGGAGGCAGCAGUAGGGAAUCUUCCGCAAAGGGCGAAAGCCUGACGGAGCAACGCCGCGUGAGUGAUGAAGGUCUUCGGAUCGUAAAACUCUGUUAUUAGGGAAGAACAAAUGUGUAAGUAACUAUGCACGUCUUGACGGUACCUAAUCAGAAAGCCACGGCUAACUACGUG
rnacentral:rRNA from 1 species